GCGCAAGCCUGAUCCAGCAAUGCCGCGUGAGUGAAGAAGGCCUUCGGGUUGUAAAGCUCUUUCAGUCGAGAAGAAAAAACUGCAGUGAAUAACUGCAGUUCAUGACGGUAUCGACAGAAGAAGCACCGGCUAACUACGUGCCAGCAGCCGCGG
rnacentral:rRNA from 1 species